CCUCCGGUUACCCCGCCGCCAAAGCAGCCACUGGCCCCGCCGGCCACCUGGCGGCGAUUGAGCUCCUCCUCGUCGGCGUCUGUCUCCCCUCCGCUAACCCGGCUUGGAGUGAAGAUCUAUCCAGACGAGAUUCCUUUUGUUGGUAGCACCUAUCAAGGGCCAGAAAGACAUUUGUGUUGGUCAGCUCUCUAUCAGAUGUAAAGAGGGUGCAGAUAAAGCUUCGAAAGAGUCCAUCCCAACAGUUAUUAGAAAUGAUGUGGACGAAACGACAGAUCCUCUUCUAAUCCAAUGUGCUUACUCCAGGCAGCCAUGGUUCCGAUGACUCAAAUCUGUUGAACCUUCCUGCUCUCACUACAUCGCCUUCUGAUACGUUGUUGGACUGGUGGAGCUCCUCCCACUCUCGCCUGCUGCCUGAUAAGCGUGAGGGAUUUGAUUCGGCAGUCAUUUCGGCCUGCUGGAAUCCGUGGAAGCAAUAGAAAUACAUGGUUUUGAUUAACAUCAACCAAACCAGUCAGGAGGCAACCUUAGCUGCGCUGAUUCAUGAUGAAUCGCAGGACUAGGCAAGAGCGGGAGCGGCUAUAGUCAGUGUUUGCUGUUUUCUGUUGCUUUCCCCCUCUUUUUUGCACCAGUUAUUUCAGCGAGGAGGCAAGGACGGUUACACUAUUUAGACUGGGGUGUGGCUGUACUGCCAUUGGCAAUUUGGCAUGCUGCCGUAACUGAUACGGUGUAUACGCGGUGCACCUGUGUUGGUGCGUCGUUCUCUUUCUGUCCUUCCCGAGCGUGUAGAAACAUUUCUUCCAGCCAUUAGAUUUCCACAGAGAGUGUUGUACGGCUUCUCACCAUUCCAAAAUUUGAUAGAAAGAAAUCACAAGUACGAGUACUGUUUUUUUU